rnacentral:lncRNA from 1 species
GGCCUGCGCCUCUAGGGGGCGUGCUGAGAAAGGUCAGAAUAGUGAUCUGUGUUGGCUACGUCUUGACAUCGUCAGCAGCCUUCUAAGCUAAGAAAACUGGGCCAGUUUGCAAGCAAAGAGGCUUGUGAGCUGUGCUAAGGAGGGCUGGUGCCCUGUAGUGGGACUGGGGAUCUGAAAACACGAAGCCACGCGAGACUAAAAGAACCAGUUGCCUCUGCACUCCACCAAGCUGGAGACAAGAUGCAAAGCAAGAUCUUUGCAGGAACCUCUAUUUCUUGUCUGCUCUUGCGCAAGUCACGUGUAGAAUGUUCCAGAUACAUUAGUGCUGAGGGAAGGAAACCAUGAUUGGCCUAAAUCAAGACAGCAUGCUGGGGAGGACCACUCAGGAAUGGAAGGAAAUCCAGGAGGGAACGUUUGUAAUUGGCAAAUCAAUCCGAGCCUACGGAAACUUGGACAGAUGGCCUUUUCAGAUCAGGUCUAAAGUAUUAUUUCUGGAAGGAAGCCUAGCACCUGUCUGGGUGUUAGCUUUGCAAUUACGGACGGCGUUUUGGGGCCGAUCCUGACAUCACAUUUGGUUCGCCGAUAGACGGGGGUGAACAUGUCAAGAAAAUGGAGGACGAUGACGAUGGAGCGAGACCUCGUUCCGUUUCCGAAGCUGAUAAUUUUGUUCCGAGUACGAGAAGUCUGAACGCCAGCGAUUCGACUUUCGCAUUAAAGGCACGUUUCCAGCCGCU